ACGCCGUAAACGCUGAGUGCUAGGUGUUAGGUCCUUUCCGGGACUUAGUGCCGACGCUAACGCAUUAAGCACUCCGCCUGGGGAGUACGACCGCAAGGUUGAAACUCAAAGGAAUUGACGGGGGCCCGCACAAGCGGUGGAGCAUGUGGUUUAAUUCGAAGCAACGCGAAGAACCUUACCAGGUCUUGACAUCCCGAUGCCCGCUCUAGAGAUAGAGUUUUACUUUUUGUACAUCGGAGACAGGUGGUGCAUGGUUGUCGUCAGCUCGUGUCGUGAGAUGUUGGGUUANNNNNNNCAACGAGCGCAACCCUUAUUGUUAGUUGCCAUCAUUAAGUUGGGCACUCUAGCGAGACUGCCGGUAAUAAGCCGGAGGAAGGUGGGGAUGACGUCAAAUCAUCAUGCCCCUUAUGACCUGGGCUACACACGUGCUACAAUGGUUGGUACAACGAGUCGCAAGCCGGUGACGGCAAGCUAAUCUCUGAAAGCCAAUCUCAGUUCGGAUUGUAGGCUGCAACUCGCCUACAUGAAGUCGGAAUCGCUAGUAAUCGCGGAUCAGCACGCCGCGGUGAAUACGUUCCCGGGCCUUGUNC
rnacentral:rRNA from 1 species